CAGUUUCCUUAAAAAGCAUCAACAUUCACGCUAAGCAUAGUUUCAAUCGAGUUCCCGUCACAUCAUAUAUUAACUCUAUUUCGAACUGUUGCUGAUUACAUGUUGUUUAUUAUUGAUUCGUUCAUGUUCCUUUGACAUGUUCAUGUACUUUUUUCCAGAUGAAACAAACAUAAAGAAUUCAUAAUUCAUUUAAGAAUUAUUAAUUAGGACAACAUCAAAUUAUUUAUCAUGUCUGAGAAAAGUAGUGCAAAUUUUGGAUAAUAUGAAAGUGGCUCCAACUUUUAUGGCGCGAACGAAGCUAGCAUUGACUAGCUGGGAUGUUAAAUAAUGGAACGCAAUUUUUAUUAAAUGCAAUUUACGUGAUUAAUAUUUACAAGCAUAGUGUUCUUUGGAAGAAAAUUAAGUGGAACAAAAUGUUAGCUGGUAGUGCUGUGACAAAUCGCAGUUGAUCCGAACCACGGUUCGGCUCGCAUGUGAUUCGCGGAUUAAUAUAUACCAGUGUAUGGAAUGUCACAAUUAUAGAUUUGUGUGUAAACUUAAACAUGUCUUGAUGGACCCUAAUUUAUGCACUGUGCAGUUAUGCUGGUAGUUGGGUAAUGUCAUAAUGGUUAUUGGGUUGGGCUUGGACUAAAAAAGGGAAAUUGUAAUGGUUUAGUAUAAUAAGACAUUAUGUAUGGUUUUGUACAAUGCUAAUCUUUUUUUCUUUUUUCCUCAGGUAAUCUUGCUUUUGCUGUUCUAAAAUAAACACUGCUCUUAGCACACCACCCAUACAUGGCACACAAAACAGGUCUUGUGAGGGGGCUGUGCCCACAGGUAGAAAUUCUGUAGGUCCACGGGCUUCUCCCCUUUCAGCGAACAUCACAGCGCUUAGUCCACCAUCGUGGUCUCCAAUCUCCAUUACCAACAGCCUGAGUGCUACACCUACAGACACCCCAACCCAUGCAGCAGCUGGCAGAAGUCAGACAUCAGGCCAAACUGGAUUUCAACACACCCCACCCUUACAUGGCACACAAGUAUAUGACACACAACACAGGUCUUCUCAGGAGGCUGUGCCUACAGCAAUAGGCUUUACGCCCAGCUGCACUACUUCCUGAACUUCAGCCAGCUCCUUGUUUCCUGUCUGCCAUUAUUGGACAAACUGAUUAAUCCAGGUGUGCCUGAGCUUAGUAGUCACAACAACAAUAAUCAGACACACCUGGAUUUAUCAGUUUGUCCAGUAAUGGCAGACAGGAAACAAGGAGCUGGCUGAAAUUCAGGAAGUAGUGCAGCUGGGCAUAAAGCCUAUUGCUAAGGAGAUCCUCAUCCAGCUCGAUUUUAUUAGAGAGCAGCAGUUGCAGACUUCACCCCAGACCCAACACAUUUUGGGCUCCCACUUUCAACUAUUGAGGAGCUACAAUGUUUGUAGGAGACAUUAAAUAAUCCAGAUGAGAAGAAGAAUUUGACUGUUUUUCCUGGAAUGGUCGGAGACAAGACUCUUAAAGACACCGUGGGGUGGGUCCUGAAAAAAACAAUAAACUCUUCGUGGCGAGACUCAUCAAUUGAAGUGGGGUCAACUGAAGCCUGCAUUCAAAGGGCUCACUUUGAAAAGUGUGGUUUUGGAUGCAGUCCGCCGGAAUGCCCUGACCAAAGAUAACACAGAAAAGGAGAUAGAGCUCCUCAUCACCAGGUGGUCGGUGCUAGCAUAUGACAGGGAUGGUGGCCGAAUCCAGACAAUAGACAGACAAUGAAUUAAAAUGUUUUAAAUUUAAAAAUGUUGAUUUUUGGAAAAUUCGUAUUUGAACUGAUUGGGUGUGUGUGUGUGCACCUGGUAAUUAUCACGUUGUGUCCCCACAAAGAUAGGAAUACCAGUAUUUUUGUGACCUUGUGUCCCCAUGAGGAAACAAGCUUAUAAAUCAAACAAAAUGAUGUUUCUUGUAAAUGUGAAGUAGGAGAAGGGUUUCUGUGAUGGUUGGGUUUAGGGAAUGGGGUAGGUAAGGGAAAUAAAAUAUACAGUUUGUAUGGUAUAAAAUGCAUUACGUCUAUGGAAUGUCCCCACAAAACAUGGAAACCUGUUUGUGUGUACGAGAGAGAGAGAAUGUGUGUUCAAGUGAAUAAAAAAUGCAUUAAACGUGAAAUCCUUGUUCUUCCUUGUGUGUUUUAUUUUCAGUUAAUGUUGCAUAAUGGUUGC